UUCUUCCUGCAAGUCGAAGGAAGUUUCCUUCGGAAACAGUAGAGUGGCCGGUGAGUAACGCGUAGGUAAUCUACCCUUAUGCCUGGGAUAACAUUGGGAAACUGGGCUAAUACCGGAUAUCCUUCCUGACUGGGGGUCAGGGAGGAAAGGGGCCUCUUCAAAAAGCUACCGCGUAGGGAUGAGCCUGCGUACCAUCGCUAGUGGGGGGUAACGGCCCCCUAGGCAACGAUGGUUAGCGGGUCUGAAGGAUGAUCCCCACACUGGAACUGGAACACGGACCAACUCCUACGGGAGGCAGCAGUGAAAUAUUGCGCAGGGAAACCCUGACGCACGACCCGCGUGAGUGAGGAAGGUUUUCGGAUCGUAAAGCUCUGUCAAAGGAAAAAUGCUGCGGUUAAUACCCAUGCAUUUGACGGUACCUUCAAGGAAGCACCGGCUAACUCCGUGCCAGCAGCCGCGGUAAUACGGAGGGUGCGAGCGUUGUUCGGAAUUACUGGGCGUAAAGGGCGCGCAGGCGGCCUGAUAAGUCAGAUGUGAAAGCCCACGGCUCAACCGUGGAAGUGCAUUUGAAACUGUCUGGCUUGAGUAUCGGAGGGGAGUGUGGAAUUCCCGGUGUAGAGGUGAAAUUCGUAGAGAUCGGGAGGAACACCGGUGGCGAAGGCGACACUCUGGACGAAUACUGACGCUGAGGCGCGAAAGCGUGGGGAGCAAACAGGAUUAGAUACCCUGGUAGUCCACGCCGUAAACGAUGUGAACUAGAGGUAGGCGGUGUUGAUCCCGCCUGUCUCGCAGCUAACGCAUUAAGUUCACCGCUGGGGAGUAGGUCGCAAGAUUAAAACUCAAAGGAAUUGACGGGGGGCCCGCACAAGCGGUGGAGUAUGUGGUUUAAUUCGACGCAACGCGAAGAACUUACUGGCUUGACAUCCCGAGAAUCUUCUGGAAACAGGAGUGCGUCAUUAGAUGAUUGUGACGGCUGCAUGGUCGUCAGCUCGUGUCGAGAUGUGGAUAAGUCCCGCAACGAGCGCCACCCCUUGUGCCAGCAGGCCUACGGGUACUUGCGGUAUCAAGGUGGU
rnacentral:rRNA from 1 species